ensembl:lncRNA
GAUGAGCAAGCCACUGAGAUCCAUUUACUUGGCUUUUCCAGUGAGUUUGCAAGAUUGGGGUGAGAAGGGGCGCUUCUUCUCUUCCUCCUGCCUGCCUCGCUGGGCUUUGAUGUGGAGUCCAGACAUGGAAGAAGUUCUGCUGGAUCAAACCAACAGGCCAGCCAGCCAGCUAGAUGCUUCCAGGAAGCCUACAGUCACCACCUGUUGUGGGGUACAUCUCAGCGGCUGAUUGCUGGAGACACCUCCUGAUGGAUGGCUGCAUUCGCAAGACGUUGCCCAAAGUACUUCUGCGGUCUGUUAGGAAACUGUAUUUCCUUGUCUUUCUUUGCUUUAUCAGAUUAAAACCUACUAAGAUUCCUUACCUUUAGUCUGUCCAGCAGGAGAAGUAUCGGCAGAAUUCCUCUGGUACAGCUGAGGAACAUAUAUUUUGCAUUUCUGUGGAAACUGUGCCCCUUAGUUGCCAUUGUCUAGGGCAUCUGUCUAGUGUCCAGUUCAUCUGCUUUGAUUGCACAGCUGUCCUGCCUGUACACAUCUAGGUCAGGGGUAUUUGGGGUUUUGGGGAAGGGGUCCAAAAGGACAGGAGGCUCGGAGGCCUCCUGACUCUGGUCUAGGUCAUUGGCAGGAAACCUCUUAACUGUCCAGAUGUUAUUAGACAAUAUCCUUCAUUUCUGACCGUUGGCCAUAUUGGUUGGUGCUGAGGGAAGCUGGGUUCCCUCACUAUCUGGAACACCCCUGUUUGCUUUCCACUGGAGAAACUAAUGUCGAGGGGAAAGGGCAGGAAGGCACAUUCACACAAGGGCCUGAUAGUAGUUGAUGGCUCUUGAUGUUUCCUGUCAUUGGGGGCUGUGCAGGUUUUGAGGAGAUGUUGAAUCUGUGGUUCUACCUGUGAGCACCUGUUUCUCCCUUUCUGUUUGGCCUUGUAGCUUGUACUGUUGCCCCUGCUGCCGCCCCCUCCCCAAUACACGGAGUCUCUCUGCAAUGAAGAACCAAGCAACAGGUGUAAAUCCAAGGGAAGCAACUUCAGUGUCAUCUGAGGAAAACAAAAGGUGUCCCUGUUCUCUGCUUGAUCUUCCAUACUAUUUCUUCCAGCACACCUCACUGCACCUGACAUGAGGUUUUUAGCUAUUGCCUAUAAGAACUCUUUAUGGCUCUGUGGUUGCUCACUAGGGGGUGGCUAUUCAAAGGCAGGAUGGUGCAGUGGUUAGAGUGUCAGAAUGAGGCUUGGGCAAGUCAAGUUCAGGUCCUCGCUAAGCAAAGAAACUCACUAGGUUACCUGGGACCAGCCACUGGCUGAAAUCCUGUUGUGCAGCUCCGCACCCAGAACAGCAGUAACAUCAACAGCAGCAACCAACAGCAGCAACUGAUUAAAAGCUUCCUUUGGGAAUUUCAGGGUAUGUUGUGUUCAAGUUGCAUGCACUCCAAAAUGACCUUUAAUCAAUGGUGAUGUGCCGCUGGUGAGGACAUCAUCCCCACUGGGCAUCGGGAGCUGUGCAACAGGAUUGCGGCCCCUGUUUCUGAGAGUCAGACCUGCCUCACAAGGCUGGGGUGAAGGGAAAGCCAUGUGCUUGAAUGUAUUGGUGGAAAGGUGGGAUAUAAAUCUGAUAGGUCUGUAGAUUAAUAAAUGCUAUGAUCCAAACA